AGUUUAUUCAUUCGGGACUUCCUUCCAACAAGACCUCCAACACACUGAUUGCUCUUAAGUAUUCAGUCAUUGUUCACAACUAAAAUAGCUUUUGGGGGGGGGGGAGAGAAAUCACUUCAGACUUCUGACAGCCAUGAUCCACCAUUUAAGAAAUGGUGUUCAGCUUUAACUGCACGUAUCAGCACAGGUCACAAAAUGAAGUGGGCACAGGUGCUGUGUAAUGAAUUCUGCAGGGCGCACUGACAGUACACAGGAACCAUAUUUAAGCCGCAGUCUGGAGUAAGGUUACACGCUGCCGUCCCUGCAUCCACUUUCAUCGUCCUUUCUCUUGCACUCCCCCUGGAACCUGCUCAUUCUGCAUUACUCAUACAAAUAAAAUUUGUACUUGUACCAGUGAUUAAAAUGGAGUUUGGUGACAGGACUACUCACUACCAACAGUUUAGUGUUCAAAGUAAGUGCUUCUCGCAAUUGAAUGAAAAUGUCACUGCUGGUUGCAUUGUAUAAUCUUAGAUAAUAGACAUGAGGCUGAUCGAUGUAACUCGUCUAAAAAGCACACGAAUCCCAAUGGCUUUUCAUUGGGCUUGUCCACAAAAAUAGCAGAACUAUUCAUGUGAUUUGUAGCUGUAAUAUAAUUUAACACAGAAGCAUUCCUUCAAUUCAUACCUGGAAUUCUGUGUGUUGGGGCCGAAAUCGUUAAGAGUCACCCCACCACACCCGACAAGGACAAUUUACCUUCCUUCGUAAGCUGCUGUGUUGGCAGUAGAAACCUGCAGCCUUGAUGUAUUUUAAAUCCAGUGUUUGCUUUCCAAAUUAGCCUAUUCUCUCAAAGAAUGCUGGAUGAAAGCACUAGUUUCACAUGGGUGUCGAGGUUAGACUUGCCCCCCGAAGAGUAAAUUAAUCAGUAGCUCAGCUCAGGAUUAAUGGCCCAACUUGAAAUUAAAAUAGGCACAAUGUUUCCAAAAGUAGCUGGUUAAAUACAAUAUUUGAAAGCUGCCCUUUCCCUAUAGCAUCAUUACUGGCAAAAUGUUUAAUUGAUCUCUCCCCCCUUCCCUCUCCCCUUUUUACUUUGAACACAGAUUUACCAGUUCACAGGCAAAAUGAAUGAGAUACAGCUUUCACGAGGAAUUCUGCAGAUGCUGGAAAUUCAAGCAACACUCAUCAAAGUUGCUGGUGAACGCAGCAGGCCAGGCAGCAUCUCUAGGAAGAGAAUAGCAUUUCUAUUGCCUGCUUCUGGACAGUGUCUUAACAAGAUGGGUGACUCCAGACAUUACCAAUACCCUUCAGAGAUUAUCUGCCUGGCGUAAGCGGUCGCACAACCAGGAUUUAUGAUGCACACCAGCUGCUCAUACGACCAUCCAUCUCCUGCUUCCAUGGCUUCAUGUGACCCGGACUGGGGGCUAGAAAUACAGCACGGUAACAGGCCCUACUGGCCCAACAAGACCACACCGCCCAAUUAACCUACUAACCCGUACGUCUUUGGAAUGCGGGAGGAAACCAGAGCACCCGGAGGAAAGAGGAAACCCACUCGGUCAUGAGGUGAAUACUCAAAUUUGUUACAGACAGUGGCAGGAAUUGAACUAGUCACUGACACUAUAAAGCAUUACACAAGCCAUUAUGCUACGGUGCCACACAAUUGAUGUAAAUGAUUAAUAU